AGAGUUUGAUCCUGGCUCAGGAUGAACGCUAGCUACAGGCUUAACACAUGCAAGUCGCGGGGCAGCAUAUAGAUAGCUUGCUAUUUAUGAUGGCGACCGGCGCACGGGUGAGUAACGCGUAUCCAACCUUCCCCAUAGUAGGGUAUAGCCCGGCGAAAGUCGGAUUAAUCCCCUAUGUUGUUUGAAGCGGACAUCUAAUUCAAACCAAAGAUUCAUCGCUAUGGGAUGGGGAUGCGUCUGAUUAGGUUGCAGGCGGGGUAACGGCCCACCUGGCCGACGAUCAGUAGGGGUUCUGAGAGGAAGGUCCCCCACACUGGUACUGAGACACGGACCAGACUCCUACGGGAGGCAGCAGUGAGGAAUAUUGGUCAAUGGGCGGGAGCCUGAACCAGCCAAGUAGCGUGCAGGAUGACGGCCCUACGGGUUGUAAACUGCUUUUAUGCGGGGAUAAAGUGCGGCACGUGUGCCGUUUUGCAGGUACCGCAUGAAUAAGGACCGGCUAAUUCCGUGCCAGCAGCCGCGGUAAUACGGAAGGUCCGGGCGUUAUCCGGAUUUAUUGGGUUUAAAGGGAGCGCAGGCGGAGAGCUAAGCGUGACGUGAAAUGUAGCCGCCCAACGGCUGACGUGCGUCGCGAACUGGUUUUCUUGAGUGGGUACGACGUCGGCGGAACUCGUGGUGUAGCGGUGAAAUGCUUAGAUAUCACGAGGAACCCCGAUUGCGAAGGCAGCCGACGAGUCCCUUACUGACGCUAAAGCUCGAAGGUGCGGGUAUCGAACAGGAUUAGAUACCCUGGUAGUCCGCACGGUAAACGAAGGAUGCCCGCUGUUUGGCGAUAUAUUGUCAGCGGCCAAGAGAAAGGCGUUAAGCAUCCCACCUGGGGAGUACGCCGGCAACGGUGAAACUCAAAGGAAUUGACGGGGGCCCGCACAAGCGGAGGAACAUGUGGUUUUAAUUUCGAUGAUACGCGAGGAACCUUACCCGGGCUUGAACUGCCGGCGAACGAUUCAGAGAUGAUGAGGCCCUUCGGGGCGCCGGUGGAGGUGCUGCAUGGUUGUCGUCAGCUCGUGCCGUGAGGUGUCGGCUUAAGUGCCAUAACGAGCGCAACCCCUCUCCGUAGUUGCCAUCGGGUUAAGCCGGGCACUCUGCGGACACUGCCACCGCAAGGUGUGAGGAAGGUGGGGAUGACGUCAAAUCAGCACGGCCCUUACGUCCGGGGCUACACACGUGUUACAAUGGGGAGUACAGAGAGCCGGUCAGCGGCAACGCCGAUCCAAUCCUUAAAGCUCUCCUCAGUUCGGAUUGGGGUCUGCAACCCGACCCCAUGAAGCUGGAUUCGCUAGUAAUCGCGCAUCAGCCAUGGCGCGGUGAAUACGUUCCCGGGCCUUGCACACACCGCCCGUCA
rnacentral:rRNA from 1 species